CAGCAGCCACGGUAAAACGAAGGGUGCAAGCGUUACUCGGAAUUACUGGGCGUAAAGCGUGCGUAGGUGGUGGUUUAAGUCCGUUGUGAAAGCCCUGGGCUCAACCUGGGAAUGGCAGUGGAUACUGGCAAGCUAGAGUGUGUCAGAGGAUGGUGGAAUUCCCGGUGUAGCGGUGAAAUGCGUAGAGAUCGGGAGGAACAUCAGUGGCGAAGGCGGCCAUCUGGGACAACACUGACGCUGAGGCACGAAAGCGUGGGGAGCAAACAGGAUUAGAUACCCCCGUAGUCCCUGUCUCUUAUAC
rnacentral:rRNA from 1 species